rnacentral:rRNA from 1 species
ACAAUUUCAAUAAUUCAACAUUCAUACCCCUUAAUAUAUUAUACACUAGAAAACAAAUCAUUUUAUUCCCUUAGUAUAGGCGAUAAAAAAGGACCUCGGAGCUAUAGAGAAAGUACCGCAAGGGAAAGCUGAAAG